GAUCUCCAUCUCACUUGGUAUCUUUGGCACAGAGACAAUCUAGGUCCGACAUCCAUGGCUCAUGGAGACCCAGAGCAGCUGUUAUCGCUGACAUGCCCACGGACCCGAUGGAGAUGGGCACCAAGUCAUCUACAUUAAGGACUCUGCAUUCCCAUCGUUUGGGACCCAGCCAUGUCCUUCAGCUCCUUCACAACACUGGCUAUUGAGACCAGCAGCAACUCAUAACUUAUGCAUCCCCGCAGCACUGCUACCCGUGGUUCCUAUUCAUCUCUCAGAUCCAGCCUGAGAUGCAAGAACAUUUGAGCCUUGCAACACCCAAGAACCCACGCAGGCAAGAAGAUCCAGAGGAAAGAUGGAUACUUGCCUUUAAUUUAAUGCACCUGCCCCAUCCUAAAUUGUUCUAUUUGAAAUAUUUUACUGUUGUAUUUUGAGUUUUGUUUGCUCUGUUGCAGAAAUUAAAAGGUUUGUGUAUAGUUGGUUACUUAAGAAGAUUGGUAGUUAUAUGCAUUUCCAGAUACAAAGAUACUAUUUUCCAGUAGUUUCAUUUAUAACUUUAUCAUUGUUUUUUACUGUCCUUACAUAAUAAAACCAUUUACAAUAAAUGUGAUGAUGACUCAUAAUAGAUGUAACACAAACUCCUGUGGACAAAGCUGAAAUAAUUGAUAGGAUUUUACAAAAAGCACAUAAGGAACGUUAAACUUCAACCACCCACACAUACUAGAGAGUGCUUGCAAUGACUGCAUCCCAACACACACUCCACAAGCUAACAUGUUCAAGCAGGAGACUCAAAAUAUGAACAAUAAACACCUCAACAGCA